UACGAAGGGUGCAAGCGUUAAUCGGAAUUACUGGGCGUAAAGCGCGCGUAGGUGGCUUGAUAAGUUGGAUGUGAAAUCCCCGGGCUCAACCUGGGAACUGCAUCCAAAACUGUCUGGCUAGAGUGCGGUAGAGGGUAGUGGAAUUUCCAGUGUAGCGGUGAAAUGCGUAGAUAUUGGAAGGAACACCAGUGGCGAAGGCGACUACCUGGACUGACACUGACACUGAGGUGCGAAAGCGUGGGGAG
rnacentral:rRNA from 1 species